CAGUUGAAGGUUUUGAAUGCUGUGAAGGCAUCUUUGUAUCCCAUCUAAGCCCAGCACAGAGUGGUCCUGGGGGCCAGUGUUUUGGGCUAAAUGUGUUGUUUUGUCCUCAUGUGAGCUAGGAAAUACACUAGUCAUUGUUCUUUGCCAGUUUUACACAUAGCGUUUGCAAAGUUCAAGACAAACAUUGUAGUAAUCUGCCCUGCAGCUUCUCUCCUAUCCUCCCUCCUUUGGGGACUGGUUGGGAUGGGGAAGGAACUGUUAAAACUGAGCUCCCUGUUUCUGCUCAAGAAAGCCCCCAUGGUAGCUUGGCUGGGGCUCCCCUCCCUUUCUUAUCAAAUGAAAUCUGCCACUGAAGGAAAUUGACUUCUCCAGAUUGCAAGAGACAGGAAGCAGUGCUGAGAAGCAAUGUCCUAGGAGGGAAGCCAGAGAAUUAGCUCAAGGCCCAGCCCAGUCUAUGCCUGGCCCUGGCCUCCUUCCCUGCAGCUCUGUCCUGUUCUCACCACUUCCACCCCACUGCUCCUUUUCCUGGCUCCUGGCAUGUGAGCUGAAAGGGACGAUAGAAAUCAUCCAGGCUGCCUCUCCCAAGUCUUCCAGCUUGUGCUCGAGGCUUCCAGAGAUGGGACUCUUGCUGAUUCCUCAAGGAAUCAGCUCCAUUGUCCAGUUGAAAUCUGCCUCCUCCAGCCAUCCCCUUUGGCCCACCCAGGCCUCCCUUCUCCUCAAUCUCCAGGCUGACACCCCCUUUAACAGGAGAGGUCCUGAUAAAGGCAUGAGCUUCUCAGAAACUUACAAACCCAAAAACCACCUGGACCAGGACCUAAGCUGGAAGGAAAUGCUGAGAACAAUGCCGUUGGUGGCCCCUUUCCUUGCCAAGGAGAUGUGUGUGGUUUACCCUGAUGUUUACUGUGACCUUGACAUACUGCCUCUGCCCCCUCCUCUGUGCCCAGUGUCUUCUGGGAAGUGUUUCUCCUCCCUUUGGCUCACUUUGUUAAUUUUUGCAAAAAUAUCUAAAAGUAUAUUUAAAGACAUCAUGACAUUCUUCCCCUAAGAACAUCAGUAUACACCUUUUAAACAUAAAAAUACUCAUCAAUGAAUUUGGUAACUUUGCAGGAUACAAAAUUAAUACACAGAAAUCGACUGUAUUUCUUUUUUCUUUUUUCUUUUUUUUUUGUCUUUUUGCUAUUUCUUGGGCCGCUCCAGCGGCAUAUGGAGGUUCCCAGGCUAGGGGUCGAAUUGGAGCUGUAGCCAUUGGCCUAUGCCAGAGCCACAGCAACGCGGGAUCUGAGCCUCGUCUGCAACGUACACCACAGCUCACGGCAAUGCCGGAUCGUUAACCCACUGAGCAAGGGCAGGGACCGAACCCGCAACCUCAUGGUUCCUAGUCGGAUUCAUUAACCACUGCGCCACAACGGGAACUCCCUCGACUGUAUUUCUAUAUGCUAACAACAAAGGAUCAGAAAGAGAAAUUAAGGAAACAAUCUCAUUUACCAUCUCAUCAAAAAGAAUAAAAUACCUAGGAAUAAACCUACCUAAAGAAACAAAAGACCUAUACUCUGAAAACUAAUAAGAUGCUGAUGAACGAAAUCAAAGAUGACACAAACAGAUGGAAAGACAUGCCAUGCUCUUGGAUUAGAAGAAUCAGUAUUGUCAAAAUGACUAUACUACCCAAGGCAAUCUACAAAUUCAAUGCAAUCCCCAUCAAAUUACCAAGGAUGUUUUUUACAGAACUAGAACAAAAUAUUUUAAAGUUUUUUUUGGAGAUACAAAGGACUCAGAAUAGCCAAAGCCAUCUUGAGAAAGAAAAAUGGAGCUGGAGGAAUCAGGCUCCCUGACUUCAGACUAUACUACAAAGCUACAGUCAUCAAAAUCACAUGGUACUGGCACAAAGACAGAAAUAUAGAUCAGUGGAACAGGAUAGAAAGCCCAGAAUUAAACCCACAGACCUAGAGUCAACUAAUAUAAGACAAAAGAGGCAAGAAUAUAUGAUGGAGAAAAAACAGUCCCUUCAAUAAUUGCUGCUGGGAAAACUGGACAGCCACAUGUAAAAGAAUGAAAUUAGAACACUCCCUAACACCAUACACAAAAAUAAACUCAAAAUGGAUUAAAGACCUAAAUAUAAGACUGGAUACUAUAAAACCCUUAAAGGAAAACAUAGGCCAAACACUCUCUGACAUAAACCACAGCAAUAUCUUCUCAGAUCUACUUCCUAGAGUAAUGACAAUAAAAACAAAAAUAAACAAAUAGGACCUAAUUAAACUUAAAAGUUUCUGCACAGCAAAGGAAGCCCUAAACAAAACGAAGACAACCCACAGACUGGGAGAAAAUCUUUGCAAUUGAAUCGACUGACAAGGGAUUAAUCUCCAAAAUGCGUAAAUACCUCCUGCAGCUCAAACCAAAAAAACAAACAAUCCCAUCAAAAAAAUGGGCAGAGGAUCUAAACAGACAAUUCUCCAAAGAAGACAUACAGAUGGCCAAAACACACAUGAAAAGAUGUUCAUCAUCACUCAUUAUUAGAGAAAUGCACAUCAAAACUACUAUGAGGUACCACUUUACAACCUUACACCAGCCAGAAUGGCCAUCAUCAAAAGGUCUACAAACGAUAAAUGCUGAAGAGAGUUUGGAGAAAAGGGAACCCUCUUACACUGUUGGAGUGUAAAUUGGUGCAACCACUGUGGAAAACAGUAUGGAGAUUCCUCAGAAAACUAAAACAGAAUUACCAUUUGAUCCAGCAGUCCUACUUCUGGGCACCUAUCCAGAAAAGCCAUGACUUGAAAAGAUACAUGUACUCCAGUGUUCAUUGCAGCACUCUAUACAAUAGCCAAGACAUGGAAGCAACCUAAAUGUCCAUUAACAGAGGAGUGGAUCAAGAAGAUGGGAUAUUACUCAGCCAUAGAAAGGAAAGGAAUACUGGCAUUUUUAGCAACAUGGAUGGACCUAGAAAUGAUUGUGCUAGGUGAAGUCAGUCAGAUGGCGAGACACCAACAUAAAAUGCCACUUAUAUGUGGAAUCUAAAAAAAGGAUACAGUGAACUUCUUUGCAGAACACAUACUGACUCACAGACUUUGAAAAACUUAUGGUUUCCAAAGGAGACAGGUUGGGGGGUGGGGGAUUGGGCUGGGGGUUUGGGAUGGAAAUGCUAUAAAAUUGGGUUGUGAAGAUCAUUGUACAACUAUAAAUGUAAUAAAAUUAAUAGAGGUAAAAAAUAAAAAUAAAAGAUUUGGUGCAAAAGUAAAAAUAAAAAUUGAAAUUAAAAGAUAAAACAUAAAAAUAUUUUCCAGCCAAUGGAGUUCCUUCUGUAGUGCCAUGGAAUUGGCAGCAUCUUGGAAGCACUGGGGCACAAAUUCUAGCCCUGCAGGCUGUGGCUUGGGUCACAACUGCCACUCAGUUCUGAUCCCUGGCCCAGGAACUCCAUAUGAUGAGGGGUGGCCAAAAAAGAAAGAAAAAAUCCAGCCAAGUUGAAAUCAAAAUAUGAAACCCAACAAAAUUAUAAUUUUCUGAUAUUGUCUAACAUUCAAUCCAAGCUGAGCUGUUGAAGGGAGCAUCCCAUCUUCUGGGUUUAUCUGACUGCUUCUUUGUUGUAGUGUUCUAGUUGGUUCUUCUAUGCCCUUUAUUUCCUAGAAAUGGUUAAUUAGGUGUUUUGGGUUUGAUUCAACUCAAAUUAAACAUUUCAAGCAAGAAGAUACCCUCAGUGAUGUUGGCAUGUUGCCUCACAUCAGAAGACAUGUUCUCCUAUCAGUGAUGGAUUAGGUAUUGGCCCCUUCAUUGUGUUUUUUCCAUCUGUGACCAAAGAGAAGUCUGUGUGGUUGCUGUAUUAUAGCACUAUACAAAUGUCAAGUGAUGUGUAUUAUAUUUUAUUUUUGGCUGCGCCCAGGGCAUGCAAAAGUUCCCAGGUCAGAGAUUGAACCCAAGCCACAGCAGCAACAAUGCCAGGUCCUUAACCACUAGGCUGCCAUGGAACUCCCAAGUGAUGUAUUUUAAAGUCACAAAAUUGAUCAGAAAAAGAAAAGGCAGGUAUGGGGUGGACGGAGGUUCCAUCUCUGCUUUUAUGUUCUGUUGUUGUAUAAACCAUUUAACACUCAAGUCCUCAGUUUUCCUAUCUGUAAAAUAAAGGGUUUGAAAUAAAAGAUCUCUAAGAUUCCUUCUAGCUUUACACUUCUUUUUUAAAAGGAGGCUUAGGAGUUCUGUGACAGUGGGUUAUGGAUCUGGCGUUGUCACUGCAUCAGCUUGGGUCAGCUGUGGUGCAGGUUCAGUGCCUGGCCCGGGGACUUCCAUAU
rnacentral:lncRNA from 1 species